GACGAACGCUGGCGGCGUGCCUAAUACAUGCAAGUAGAACGCUGAAGGAGGAGCUUGCUCUUCUGGACGAGUUGCGAACGGGUGAGUAACGCGUAGGUAACCUGCCUGGUAGCGGGGGAUAACUAUUGGAAACGAUAGCUAAUACCGCAUAAGAGUAGAUGUUGCAUGACAUUUGCUUAAAAGGUGCAAUUGCAUCACUACCAGAUGGACCUGCGUUGUAUUAGCUAGUUGGUGGGGUAACGGCUCACCAAGGCGACGAUACAUAGCCGACCUGAGAGGGUGAUCGGCCACACUGGGACUGAGACACGGCCCAGACUCCUACGGGAGGCAGCAGUAGGGAAUCUUCGGCAAUGGACGGAAGUCUGACCGAGCAACGCCGCGUGAGUGAAGAAGGUUUUCGGAUCGUAAAGCUCUGUUGUAAGAGAAGAACGAGUGUGAGAGUGGAAAGUUCACACUGUGACGGUAUCUUACCAGAAAGGGACGGCUAACUACGUG
rnacentral:rRNA from 1 species